rnacentral:lncRNA from 1 species
UUUUUUUUUUUUUUUUUAUCAAAUGAUUUACAUGGAAGCACGAGAAAAGAUGAAGGCAUGAAGCUUCAUCUUUCUGAAUCUUUAUGAAGAACAGAAGCUUUCUGUCAAAUAAACCAAUUGGGUCAAAGUUGCAGUUAGAACAAUCAAUACAGGCAUGAAGCUCAAUUUUUAACACAAUUAGUACUUCUAAGAUCUGGGAUUGGAAAUUUAUAGGGAUCGAGAAUGAAAUACCUACUAGAUAAUAGUAGGACUCAAGGUAUUGAGUUUGGAAUUUAAAGAACGAAACUGAUGACACUAGUCCUGAAAUUAAAGGGUACUGCCUACAGCACACGUCUUUUCCUCCGCUACCAUUCAACUGUAUUAUGGAUGUGACAUUCGCAAACUGCAUAAAUAGCUACCCUUCUUCAUUUCUUUGAACACCAACCAUCUCUCGCCCUAUCGCGCACACACACACACACAAAAGACGCACUGAGCGCAGAGCGAUGGAGGUGUCUUGGGAAGACAGUGUUACAUCCUCAAUAAACACCAUUUAUCUUCUCUUUUCAUCCUACUUGGUCUUCGUCAUGCAGCUUGGCUUUGCCAUGCUAUGCGCUGGUUCAGUCCGAGCCAAGAAUGCCAUGAACAUCAUGCUUACAAACGUGGUCGAUGCAGCUGUGGGCAGCAUUUCUUACUAUCUCUUCGGCUUUGCCUUCGCCUUCGGGGAUGGAUCCAAUUCAAACCCCUUCAUAGGCACCGAAUUCUUUGCCCUUAAAGGCAUUCCUUCGGGCUCUUACAGCUAUAGCUUCUUUCUUUACCAAUGGGCUUUUGCCAUAGCCGUGGCUGGGAUAACCAGUGGCUCCAUUGCCGAGAGAACUCAGUUCUCUGCUUACCUCAUUUUCUCUUUCUUCCUUACUGGCUUUGUUUACCCAAUCGUUGCUCGUUGGAUUUGGUCAUCCAGCGGCUGGCUCAGUCCCAGCUCCUCCGGUCCCUUGCUGUUUGGUUCUGGCGCCAUUGAUUUUGCCGGGAGCGGGGUUGUACAUUUGGUAGGAGGAGUUGCUGGGCUUUGGGGUUCAUUGAUAGAGGGCCCGAGAGUGGGUCGGUUUGAUGCUUUUGGUAAGCCCGUGGCAAUGAGAGGCCACAAUUCAACUUUGGUGGUCCUGGGCACAUUCUUGUUGUGGUUUGGAUGGUUUGGGUUCAAUCCAGGUUCUUUUGAUAAAAUACUCGUGGCUUACCCAAAUACUUCUGAUCAGGGUAACUGGACCGGGGUCAGUCGGACAGCCGUUACGACCACGCUGGCUGGAUCCACUGCGGGAAUUGUCACCCUGUUCGGCCGGCGGAUACUGGUAGGCCACUGGGAUGCACUGGAUGUUUGCAAUGGAGUGCUUGGUGGCUUUGUUGCCAUUACAUCUGGCUGCUCUGUUGUCGAGCCAUGGGCUGCAAUAUUUUGCGGAUUCGUCGCAGCUUGGGUCUUGAUUGGACUUAAUAUUUUGUGUUUGAAACUUGGAUUUGAUGAUCCACUGGAGGCAGCCCAACUCCAUGGAGGUUGUGGGGCUUGGGGGGUGAUUUUUACAGGUUUAUUUGCGAAAGAGGAAUUUAUUAUUCAAGCAUACAAUUCAGGCGACAGCAGUGUCUCGCGACCUUAUGGGCUGCUCCUGGGAGGUGGCUGGGGCCUGCUUGGAGCCCAAGUCAUUGAACUGCUAGUCAUUUUUGGCUGGGUUAGUAUCACAAUGGGGCCCAUGUUCUAUACGCUGCACAAGCUGAAAAUCUUAAGGAUAUCUGUGGAAGAGGAGGUUGCUGGUCUGGACGUCUCCCGCCAUGGAGGAUACGCCUACAACGCUCUCCAACAAGAAGGAAACAGGACCUCGAUUUUACGCUGAAUGCGCGCGGCUGCAAAAUGACGAAUAAAUUGUUCUUCUUCUUCUUCUUGUCUUCUGAGUCUUGGGUGAGUUAGUUGGAUGAUCAUCAACUGUAUGAAUAUCAACGUUUCAAGAUUUUAUUCCUCCAAACCUUUUAAUGCUUUUCUAAGCGAUACCUUUUGUUGAUUUCAAUUCAAUUAAUUGUCUAUUGAUUCAAGUUUACAUGUACAAUAUAACUCAACUAUUCCUACUCUACAUUAGAGGAGGAGGACCUAAAGAGGUCAAGAAAAAUCCUUCUAUACUAGAAUUACUCCUACUCUACAAUAGGGAGAGGGGGACCUAAAAAGAUCCGAAUGAUUCUAUACUAGAACUACUCAUACUCUAUACUAAGGGGAGUGAAAUCUAAAGAAGUCAAGGAAAAUCCGGUAAAUCACCACUAGUCCUUCUAUACUAAAACUAUUUCUACACUACCUAUACUAGGGAGAGAGGGGACCUAAAGAGGUUCAGACGAUUCUGUGUUAUAACAACUCCUAUUCUACAUUAAGGGGAGGAGGACCUAAAGAGGUCAAAAAAAAAAAAAAUCCAAUGAAUCACGAUUGAUUUAGAUAAGUGCCUAUGCAUCCGCUGACAAAAAUAUUUUUAGGAAAGUCGGGAUAUUAAAAUGUAGAUCAAGAAAGUCAAAUCAAAAUGUAGAUCAGAAAAGUCAAAAAAGGUCUGGAUGUUCAAAUCCCUUGAUCUAAAUUCAUAUAAAGUUUUAAAUCUUUAUUAGUGACCAACUCCACUGGGAGCAAUUGGUUCUUUAUUUCUCUUUUACACAUUAUUAUUGUCUUUAUAAUUUCCGUACUUGACCAAUGGGGCCAGGGAAUGUGGACUGAGCUGGCAACGAAUGACGGGCAAAGGAAAAUGAAAGAAUGAGAAGAUUUUGUCUCUGUUUUCAGACUCGGACCGGACCGGCCGGUCGAACCGGAAACCGGCCAGGUAGCCGGUCCGAGUCACAUUAGAAAACCGGAAAUUUAAAAUCCGGUCAAAGCCGGUCAAAAACCGGGUUUGACCGGGUUUGACCGGGAAAAAACCGGUUUUUCCGGUUCAACAGUAAUUUUUUUUUAAAAAAAUUCAAACUUUUUAAUAUUAUGUUUUGACCCCCUAAAUUGUUAAAACUUAUUGAUAUAGCUCAAAUAUUUGAUACUUUAUAAAUAUUGUCCUAAAAUUUGAUGUUAUUUUUCAAUUAAAUUCAUAAUUUUAAUUCUAAACUUGUUAAUAUUUAUUAAAUAAUAUAAAUUGCUACUUGAUUGUUCUAAUUUCUUUGUAUUUUCUUGUUAAAUAAUUUGAAACAUCAAAUAUAUAUGAAUAUGCCUUUAUUAAUAUCAAUAUAUUAUUAGAUAUUAUAUAUAUAAUAUUUUAAUUUUUAAAAUAAUUUUUUAUUUAUGACGUCAUCCGGUUCGACCCCUAUCGACCCCGGUCGAACCCAUUGACCCCUGACCCCUGACCUCGGCCGAGUCGCUAUCCGGUCCGGUUCUGAAAACAUAGGAUUUUGUACGUGGGCAGCAUGAUAUGACUAGCCCAAAUUAUUCUUGGCUUUUUUUUUAAAUUAUUUUUAAUUUGAAGAGGGGACCGCCAUGCCAUAUGCACAUGAUCACACUUACACACCCAAAAAAGGGAAAAAAUAUAUAGAAGGGGUUGGUCAGAACCACUAUACUUGGUUGGUCUGAAUUUCGAGUGCGAGAGACAGGCAUGAGACACAAGAAAUCUAGAAGUUUUCAAGCACCCUGUGAAGUAUGGUCCGGGAAUACCUUAAAAAAGCAACGAAUCAAUUGUGAACAAGAAUAGAAAAAAUGAAAGUGUCAAUACAAACUUUUAAUUUGACGAAAACCAAAAUUUGCUCCUAAAAUAGUAAGUUUUAACAAAAAUCUGUCUCCAAACACAAAGAAGUGUUCUUGAGGUACUUUUUUAGGUAAAUCCAAGUAUCCAACCAAACUCACGUCAUUGCGCUUUUAAUCAGGUGUAAAACAAUUGGGGACAGAUUUUUCAAUAAAACACAAAUUUUCAAGAAAUAUCGAGAACAUAUACAAUACUAAUCUCUAAAGUCUAAACUAUCUGAUCCUCCUAUGAUGCUCUUUUCAAUGGAUUCGUUCUUAAGUUAAGAAACUAGAAUGAAAUCUGCACAAAAAGUUCUGGAACUUCUUCCACCACAAUUAGUUCGUCAAUCAUCAGCAUUUGCAUCUCACCCAACAGUCACUAUCGCAUCAUCAUAGCCAAAAGAAAACCAAUUUACAUCCUUCGUGCUUUUUACCGUUCCUCAAAAGAAAAUCAUUUUUCUUUCGGAAAUGAUAUACCACCCUAUCUCUUUCUAACCCUUACGGGUUAAAUAAGAAAAGGCCAGAAGCUAGUCCAAGCAAAAGCAGGAGGUCCGAAACUCUCUCCAAGGUAAAUGGAUUGAACUUUAUAGAACAACGAUUUGAUGUACAGAAAAUGAAACCGAGUCACCUAAUAGCGAAAUUGUGUUGGUUUAACAAUGAAUCUGGAAGAAGAAGGGGCAACUUUUCAAUGAACAUAAACAGCCUCUGCAAAUUCUCUUCCAGAAUCACAGAUAAAUCAACAAUUUCACUGCUAUCAGUGCAGAUCCAGAUGUCACUUGAAUUCACUCGUUUG